rnacentral:misc_RNA from 1 species
CAACACUCAAGCGCUGCUGCUUGGUGCUGGAGCCCUGCGGUUGCAGGCUCUGAAAGACAUUGGCAGGAUAGUUAUGAUCCCGAGCGCAGUAAAUCUUUCUCGCUUAGGGCGUUGUAGCAGUCUUCCGCCAUAAAACUAUACUUUUAAUCUGUAAAG